CUUCAAGUCCAAUAAUAGAACGUUCAAUCUCAGAAACUCUUCCCAUGCUUCUCUCACUUUCUUCCCCUUCAUCGUUCGCCUAUCCCCCAGGCCACGCUUAACGACUUGACUGGCAAAUUUUUGUAGCCUCAACUCUGCUUCCUCCACCGUCCGUUCUCCCCGGCUUCUCUCGCUGUUGGAUUCGAAUAUUUGUGCUUCGAUCCAAAGAGCGAAGAUCUCCCGCCAUGCGUACAAGUCCUUGCGAGAAGCCUUGGACGGAUGCAUCUUAGGUGUAAUUUCAUUGGAUGGUGUGAGAGGCGUGGGGAUGAUUUCAAUACUGGCUUGAGGCGAUACCGAUUUCGAAAUCAUUUCGCAAAGCUUUUCGACGGAUUGUUGAAAGAGGAUCUGCUGUCUGGUGUGGAAAGAGGAGAGAGAGGAACUGAUAGAUGAAGGCGGAUUUGGGGUAAUGGAUGAUCUGGUGCGCCUGCCACCGUAUUAGUCAGCAAUGCUCUUUUGAAGGGCGUAAAUUCCUCACCAGUGACGACAUAUUCUGCCUUUAUUCCGCCAUGACCGACACUCACAGCUCUCUUGACAACUCUCCGGCUUCUAUGGCUUCCUUCAGAUCCCCUUCUCUCGCUUAUACGAUCAUCUUGAUAUGCAGAUGUAGCUUGCGACAGGCUGUUUGCUGUGGUCAAGCCGGUCACGUUACAUGGUUCAACGGCUUGGAAUGUCUCUGACAAAAGCCGUAACCUAAACUUGCGAGGAUGAGGGUGAUGCAAGUUAUCGGUGCUGAGCUGUCCGUCGUCCUCGAGUACCGGAUCGACCAGAACUUCUUGCGGUUCGUGGGGCAAAGGAAGAUAACCGAGCUGAAACGUGGACGGGACACCUUCUUCACUCUCAAAUUCAAAUUCUAUAAGCUCAUCCUCGGGUGUUUCACUGCUAUUGCCGUGUGGCCUAUCCAAUAGCAAGGAAUGGUUGUCUGCGACGAGAAGCUUGUUGAGAAUAUCUGGUGAAAGGCCCAUGGAGGUGAGCUCCGCGGCUACAUCUUUGAUGAUCUUCUUGAGCUAGACGGGUCACGUCAGUGUGUAGCUACUACGAUCAUACCGGAGGCAAACGCACCUGACGAUACUCGAUAGCAGAAGAUUUCCACUCCUCUGGAAAAUCGGAGCUAUCGAGCAGCUGCUGAAACUCUUUGCCGUACUUCAUCCAAGGCCGGCCCUCAUGGGUUAGGAUGUCGCAGUUCUUCGUCGAGCAAAUGUGUUCAUUUAGACAUGAACGGAUUGUUUAUUUGGCAUGAAAAAAUCGUGAUAAUAUGUCUGAAGACCGUCGAUACGCUGCUGAUCACGCACGUGCAGAGUAUCUCCAGGCACGAGAUAAGGUGAGCUUUAC
rnacentral:sRNA from 1 species